GAGGAUAAAGGUAAGCAACAAAUGGAUAAAAAAGCAGUAAGGAAAGAAAAAAAAGAAGGAAGAGAGAAGCAAUGUCACUUGAGGAGUUAGACCAACAUAACCUGAAAAGAGCAACAAAAAAGUCAAAUAAAGAAUCAAAAAAAAGUAAAGAGAGGCAGAAAAUGAAGCGGCAGGAGUCUCUACUAGUGCUGCCCCAGAAAGGGGAUGAUGUGCAGGAUCAGUUCGGGAGACGAUUCCUCCAAUUGUGGAGGGUGAGGUUGUGAGUACUCCUACCACUAUAGGGGCCAACAUUGCACUGGGUGAGGACACAGGGACCUUACCACACCUGAUAGAUGCCUUAGAGGAGUAAGAGGCGAUAUAAAUAUCCUAAUCCAACCAUGUACGGUAAUUUAUUGCUUUGAGGACAAUGCUUAUCUUUCUAUGUGGGGGUGGG
rnacentral:lncRNA from 1 species